UUCAGUCCCUGUUUCUGUCUGUGGUGUUUCGUCGCUGUUGAGGAUGGACUGCGAGAAUUUCAGCUUUUCAGUAUCAGCUGAAAAAACUCUCUUUUUAUUCAUCUUUUUGUUGCUGUUCGGCGAAACGCUUGCAGAAGGAACAUUAGUAGUGAACGUGACUCACACUUCUUAUCAGGCAGAGGAGAACCAGGAAGUCACACUGGAGUGGACCUUCACACCCAAACCUGACAACUCAACACAACGUCUCUUUGUCUUCUGUGAGAUGUUCAAUAGUCACAAACACUUCACCCUGUUUCAGCUUCAUGAAGGAGUCGAGGUCUCAGAGUCUCAGAGUGAAGAGUUUUCAGGACGGGUCCAGUGUGACAAAGACGUCCUCAGAGAGGGACGAAUCAGACUUCAUGUGUCCUCACUCAGGACUGAAGAUUCAGGCCGGUACAAAUGUGAAGUGCUCACUAACGCUGGAUCCAGCUUGAAAUGAUGUCAGCUCAAUGUGACUGCAGCUGUUCAUGAGCCUGAAGAUCAGAGACCAACAGAGAGACCAGAACCAGGAGAUCAGAGUCGGGGAAGGAUCGGUCUCUACAUUGGACUGACAGUAUCAGCAGCAACAUUACUGACUCUCUGUGCCUUCAGGCUGUGUGUCAUAAAAUCUGCUCGUAACAACAGCAACAGGUCUGAUCCUCUACCUGGUCCGGUGGUUUGAUCCCCAGCUCCUACAGUCCGUGUUUUCUAAAGCAGCCCCUCAGAGAAACGUUGUCUACGUGAUCUCAUCAGUGGACGUUUUCAGAGACGUUACUUCAGCAUCAAACUUCUCCUCCAUCUCCUGCAGCUGUUUAUGGAACAAUAAGAAGGGACUAUGUUUCUUCAACAUUGAACAUUGCAGCACCUCUCCUCUCCUCCUGCUGGGACUUGGUGAUGCAUUCACUUGGCUUUGUAAAUCAGACGUUCACUCGCACAGAGCACUUUUUAUUUAUUUACUCUUUUUUAUAAAGGGACAGUGCAGUAUUAAGCAGCAUUUUGACCUGUGAUUGUAAUAAAUGUAAUUAUGUUUUGUUAAAGGUGACA